GACGAACGCUGGCGGCGUGCUUAACACAUGCAAGUCGAACGGAACUUCUUGGAUAGAGGCUUCGGCCAAUUGAAUUGAAGUUUAGUGGCGGACUGGUGAGUAACGCGUGAGGAACCUGCCUUUCAGAGGGGGACAACAGUUGGAAACGACUGCUAAUACCGCAUGACACAUUUGGGUCGCAUGGCUCGGAUGUCAAAGAUUUUAUCGCUGAAAGAUGGCCUCGCGUCUGAUUAGCUAGUUGGUGGGGUAACGGCCCACCAAGGCGACGAUCAGUAGCCGGACUGAGAGGUUGACCGGCCACAUUGGGACUGAGAUACGGCCCAGACUCCUACGGGAGGCAGCAGUGGGGAAUAUUGGGCAAUGGACGCAAGUCUGACCCAGCAACGCCGCGUGAAGGAAGAAGGCUUUCGGGUUGUAAACUUCUUUUAAGGGGGAAGAGCAGAAGACGGUACCCCUUGAAUAAGCCCCGGCUAACUACGUGCCAGCAGCCGCGGUAAUACGUAGGGGGCAAGCGUUAUCCGGAUUUACUGGGUGUAAAGGGAGCGUAGACGGUCAAGCAAGUCAGAAGUGAAAGGCUGGGGCUCAACCCCGGGACUGCUUUUGAAACUGUUUGACUGGAGUGCUGGAGAGGUAAGCGGAAUUCCUAGUGUAGCGGUGAAAUGCGUAGAUAUUAGGAGGAACACCAGUGGCGAAGGCGGCUUACUGGACAGUAACUGACGUUGAGGCUCGAAAGCGUGGGGAGCAAACAGG
rnacentral:rRNA from 1 species